CCUACGGGGGGCAGCAGUGGGGAAUAUUGGACAAUGGGGGGAACCCUGAUCCAGCCAUGCCGCGUGUGUGAAGAAGGCCCUCGGGUUGUAAAGCACUUUCAGUGAGGAAGAACGCCUGGUGGUUAAUACCCAUCAGGAAAGACAUCACUCACAGAAGAAGCACCGGCUAACUCCGUGCCAGCAGCCGCGGUAAUACGGAGGGUGCGGGCGUUAAUCGGAAUUACUGGGCGUAAAGCGCGCGUAGGUGGCUUGAUAAGCCGGUUGUGAAAGCCCCGGGCUCAACCUGGGAACGGCAUCCGGAACUGUCAAGCUAGAGUGCAGGAGAGGAAGGUAGAAUUCCCGGUGUAGCGGUGAAAUGCGUAGAGAUCGGGAGGAAUACCAGUGGCGAAGGCGGCCUUCUGGACUGACACUGACACUGAGGUGCGAAAGCGUGGGUAGCAAACAGGAUUAGAUACCCGGGUAGUC
rnacentral:rRNA from 1 species